UACGUAGGUCCCGAGCGUUGUCCGGAUUUAUUGGGCGUAAAGCGAGCGCAGGUGGUUUAAUAAGUCUGAUGUAAAAGGCAGUGGCUCAACCAUUGUGUGCAUUGGAAACUGUUAGACUUGAGUGCAGUAGAGGAGAGUGGAAUUCCAUGUGUAGCGGUGAAAUGCGUAGAUAUAUGGAGGAACACCGGUGGCGUAAGCGGCUCUCUGGACUGUAACUGACACUGAGGCUCGAAAGCGUGGGUAGCAAACAGG
rnacentral:rRNA from 1 species